rnacentral:lncRNA from 1 species
CUUAAGCUGAAUUAGAUCUUGUGAACACACUAUGUGUGGUCUUGUCUUUUAAAGUUGAUCAUAUUCCUUUAUUUCGUUAUCUAAAAUGACAAAAAAUCUAGAUUUAGAUUUAUGUAAAAUAUACUGUUACAUUGGAACUCUCAAAACCGGCGCCUGUCGGACCACGGAAAACGGUCGGGGGUGUGCUGGGUUUGUUAAAAUUGAAAAUUAUGAAGAGUUAACCCUUAAUAUGUUGGUUUGAUUAAAUAUGAAAACGCAUUUUACAUUAAUCAAAAUAUAUGUUCUCCUCUGUUGAUUUUAGUUUUGUAUACUAUUUAUGUUUGUGGCUUAUCUCUGAACUUAGCUGUGUAUGCCAUCAUUUUUUU